GGGGCCGUUUAGGAUUCGACGCCGGUUGCGAAACUCUAGGUGCAUGCCGACUUGGUAACAGAAGUCGUAAAUCCACUGUUGCAACUACUUAUAGUUGCCAAUGACGACCAAUACGGUGUUGCUCUCGCUGCUUAAUUGCAGCUGACAAUGCUCCUGGUACCUUCGGGUCCAGCAAUCAUCAGGGGAUGUCUGUAAACCCGAAAUGAUUGUCAUAUAGAACAGAAUCGCCGUGCAGUACGUUGUGGACGAAGCGGCUAA
rnacentral:tmRNA from 1 species